rnacentral:rRNA from 1 species
GACGAACGCUGGCGGCGUGCUUAACACAUGCAAGUCGAACGGACAGGCCCUGCUUUUGUGGGGCGCUCGAUUGGCGAACGGGUGUGUAACACGCGUGUAUCCUCCCCCUGUCUUAGGGAUAAAUUCUGGAAACUGGGGCUAAUACCGGAUAGGAGCUCCUGCAGCAUGGUGGGGGUUGGAAAGUUUCGGCGGUUGGGGCUGGUCUAGCGGCUUAUCAGCUUGUUGGGGGGGUAGUGGCUUACCAAGUCUUCGAAGGGUAGCCGGCCUGGGAGGCGGGACAGCCACCAUGGGACUGAGAGACGGCCCAGACUCGUACGUGAGGCAGCAGGGGGGAAUAUGGCACAACGGGCGGAAGCCUGAUGCAGCGACGUCGGGUGCGGGAUGACGUCUUUCGGGGUAUAAACAGCUGUCUCAUUUGAUGAAGCGGGAUUGACGGUAAUUGGUAAAGAAGCACCGGCUAACUACGUG